UUUCGGUUCAGAUUGAACGCUGGCGGACGCUUUACGCUGACGCAAAGUCGAACGCACGGUCCCGGUUCGGUAAGAACCACAACGGCAGGGAAUAUCAACGCCCAGUAGCGGAGAUAAUCACGCAGAAAGUGUAGUUAAUACCGUGCACAACCAAAAACAAGCGGGGACCUUUCGGGCCUCGCACUAAUAGAGUGGCCGACAAUGGACCAGCUUAGUUGCAGGCAACGCCUCACCGGCGACGAUCCGUAGCUGUUUGAGGACGACCAGCCACACUGGGACGGAGACACGGCCCAGACUCCUACGGGAGGCAGCAGUGGGGAAUUUUGGACAAUGGGGAAACCUGAUCCAGCCAUCCCGCGUGUGCGAUGAAGGCCUUCGGGUUGUAAAGCACUUUUGGCAGGAAAAGAAACGGCACGUGGGAUAAUACCCCGUGCAACUGACGGUACCUGCAGAAUAAGCACCGGCUAACUACGUGCCAGCAGCCGCGGUAAUACGUAGGGUGCAAGCGUUAAUCGGAAUUACUGGGCGUAAAGCGUGCGCAGGCGGUUCGGAAAGAAAGAUGUGAAAUCCCAGAGCUAACUUUGGAACUGCAUUUAACUACCGAGCUAGAGUGUCAGAGGGAGGUGGAAUUCCGCGUAGCAGUGAAAUGCGUAGAUAUGCGGAGGAACACCGAUGGCGAAGGCAGCCUCCUGGGAUAACACCGACGCUCAUGCACGAAAGCGUGGGCGUAAACAGGAUUAGAUACCCUGGUAGUCCACGCCCUAAACGAUGUCAACUAUUGUUGGGCCUUUGGCCUUGGUAGCGCAGCUAACGCGUGAAGUUGACCGCCUGGGGAGUACGGUCGCAAGAUUAAAACUCAAAGGAAUUGACGGGACCCGCACAAGCGGUGGAUGAUGUGGAUUAAUUCGAUGCAACGCGAAAACCUUACCUACCCUUGACAUGUCUGGAAUCCUGAAGAGAUUUGGAGUGCUCGCAAGAGAAAUCCCGGAACACAGGUGCUGCAUGGCUACGUCAGCUCGUGUCGAGAUGUUGGGUUAAGUCCCGCAACGAGCGCAACCCUUGUCAUUAGUUGCUACGAAAGGGCACUCUAAUGAGACCGCUGGUGACAAACCGAGGAAGGUGGGGAUGACGUCAAGUCCUCAUGGCUCCCAGGGUAGGGCUUCACAUCAUACAAUGGUCGGGACAGAGGUCGCCAACCCGCGAGGGGAGCCAAUCCCAGAAACCCGAUCGUAGUCCGGAUCGCAGUCUGCAACCUGACUGCAGGAAGUCGGAAUCGCUAGUAAUCGCGGAUCAGCAUGUCGCGGUGAAUACGUUCCCGGGUCUUGUACACACCGCCCGUCAAUUCAUGGGGAGUGGGUUUUACCAGAAGUAGUUAGCCUAACCGUAAGGAGGGCGAUUACCACGGUAGGAUUCAUGACUGGGGUGAAGUCGUAACAAGGUAA
rnacentral:rRNA from 1 species